rnacentral:rRNA from 1 species
GCGGAGGAAAAGAAACCAACAGGGAUUGCCUCAGUAACGGCGAGUGAAGCGGCAACAGCUCAAAUUUGAAAUCUGGCCCCAGGCCCGAGUUGUAAUUUGCAGAGGAUGCUUCCGGUGCGGCGCCGUCCAAGUCCCCUGGAACGGGGUGCCACAGAGGGUGAGAGCCCCGUCGGGUCGGCCGCCAAGCCUAUGUGAAGCUCCUUCGACGAGUCGAGUAGUUUGGGAAUGCUGCUCUAAAUGGGAGGUAGACCCCUUCUAAAGCUAAAUACCGGCCAGAGACCGAUAGCGCACAAGUAGAGUGAUCGAAAGAUGAAAAGCACUUUGAAAAGAGGGUUAAACAGUACGUGAAAUUGUUGAAAGGGAAGCGCUUGUGACCAGACGUGCGCCGGGCGUUCAGCGGGCGUUCUCGCCCGUGUACUCGCCCCGGCGCAGGCCAGCGUCGGUUCGGAUGGGUGGACAAAGGUGCUAGGAACGUGGCUCCCUCGGGAGUGUUAUAGCCUGGUGCGUCAUGCCCCCGUCCGGACCG